rnacentral:rRNA from 1 species
ACGGGUGAGUAACGCGUGGGAAUCUACCGUACCCUACGGAAUAGCUCUGGGAAACUGGAAGUAAUACCGUAUACGCCCUAACGGGGAAAGAUUUAUCGGGGUAUGAUGAGCCCGCGUUGGAUUAGCUAGUUGGUGGGGUAAAGGCCUACCAAGGCGACGAUCCAUAGCUGGUCUGAGAGGAUGAUCAGCCACAUUGGGACUGAGACACGGCCCAAACUCCUACGGGAGGCAGCAGAGGGGAAUAUUGGACAAUGGGCGCAAGCCUGAUCCAGCCAUGCCGCGUGAGUGAUGAAGGUCUUAGGAUUGUAAAGCUCUUUCAACGGUGAAGAUAAUGACGGUAACCGUAGAAGAAGCCCCGGCUAACUUCGUGCCAGCAGCCGCGGUAAUACGAAGGGGGCUAGCGUUGUUCGGAAUUACUGGGCGUAAAGCGCACGUAGGCGGGUAUUUAAGUCAGGGGUGAAAUCCCGCAGCUCAACUGCGGAACUGCCUUUGAUACUGGGUAUCUUGAGUAUGGAAGAGGUAAGUGGAAUUGCGAGUGUAGAGGUGAAAUUCGUAGA